CGUGGUGGGAGACAGUGUCAGGCGGGCAGUUUGACUGGGGCGGUCGCCUCCUAAAAGGUAACGGAGGCGCUCAAAGGUUCCCUCAGAAUGGUUGGAAAUCAUUCAUAGAGUGUAAAGGCAUAAGGGAGCUUGACUGCGAGACCUACAAGUCGAGCAGGGUCGAAAGACGGACUUAGUGAUCCGGUGGUUCCGCAUGGAAGGGCCAUCGCUCAACGGAUAAAAGCUACCCCGGGGAUAACAGGCUUAUCUCCCCCAAGAGUUCACAUCGACGGGGAGGUUUGGCACCUCGAUGUCGGCUCAUCGCAUCCUGGGGCUGUAGUCGGUCCCAAGGGU
rnacentral:rRNA from 1 species